GAUGAACGCUGGCGGUAUGCUUAACACAUGCAAGUCGAACGAAACCUUUCGGGGUUUAGUGGCGGACGGGUGAGUAACGCGUGAGAAUCUGCCUUCAGGUCUGGGACAACCACUGGAAACGGUGGCUAAUACCGGAUGUGCCGCAAGGUGAAAGGUUAACUGCCUGAAGAUGAGCUCGCGUCUGAUUAGCUAGUUGGCAGUGUAAGAGACUACCAAGGCGACGAUCAGUAGCUGGUCUGAGAGGACGAUCAGCCACACUGGGACUGAGACACGGCCCAGACUCCUACGGGAGGCAGCAGUGGGGAAUUUUCCGCAAUGGGCGAAAGCCUGACGGAGCAAUACCGCGUGAGGGAGGAAGGCUCUUGGGUCGUAAACCUCUUUUCUCAGGGAAGAAAAAAAUGACGGUACCUGAGGAAUAAGCAUCGGCUAACUCCGUGCCAGCAGCCGCGGUAAUACGGAGGAUGCAAGCGUUAUCCGGAAUGAUUGGGCGUAAAGCGUCCGCAGGUGGCGAUGUAAGUCUGCUGUUAAAGCGUCUAGCUCAACUAGAUAAAAGCAGUGGAAACUACAUGGCUAGAGUGCGUUCGGGGCAGAGGGAAUUCCUGGUGUAGCGGUGAAAUGCGUAGAGAUCAGGAAGAACACCGGUGGCGAAGGCGCUCUGCUAGGCCGUAACUGACACUGAGGGACGAAAGCUAGGGGAGCGAAUGGGAUUAGAUACCCCAGUAGUCCUAGCCGUAAACGAUGGAUACUAGGCGUGGCUUGUAUCGACCCGAGCCGUGCCGUAGCUAACGCGUUAAGUAUCCCGCCUGGGGAGUACGCCGGCAACGGUGAAACUCAAAGGAAUUGACGGGGGCCCGCACAAGCGGUGGAGUAUGUGGUUUAAUUCGAUGCAACGCGAAGAACCUUACCAAGGCUUGACAUGUCGCGAAUCCUGCUGAAAGGUGGGAGUGCCUUCGGGAGCGCGAACACAGGUGGUGCAUGGCUGUCGUCAGCUCGUGUCGUGAGAUGUUGGGUUAAGUCCCGCAACGAGCGCAACCCUCGUUUUUAGUUGCCAGCAUUAAGUUGGGCACUCUAGAGAGACUGCCGGUGACAAACCGGAGGAAGGUGGGGAUGACGUCAAGUCAGCAUGCCCCUUACGCCUUGGGCUACACACGUACUACAAUGCUCCGGACAGAGGGCAGCAAGCACGCGAGUGCAAGCUAAUCCCGUAAACCGGGGCUCAGUUCAGAUCGCAGGCUGCAACUCGCCUGCGUGAAGGAGGAAUCGCUAGUAAUUGCAGGUCAGCAUACUGCAGUGAAUUCGUUCCCGGGCCUUGUACACACCGCCCGUCACACCAUGGAAGCUGGUAGUGCCCGAAGUCAUUACUCCAACCUUUCGGGGAGGAGGAUGCCUAAGGCAGGACUGGUGACUGGGGUGAAGUCGUAACAAGGUAGCCGUACCGGAAGGUGUGGCUGGAUCACCUCCUUUUUAGGGA
rnacentral:rRNA from 3 species